AUUAGCAACAAAUGAUGUCAGUUGAAAGACUUCAGCCACUUAGCAUACUAAAACCAGAGAUUAAAGAUCAUUAAGUUUCUUAAUUUAUUGUUUACAAUUUAACGAAGCCACAAGAACACUUAUCCGCCUAAUCUAUUUCGGAAAUUGCUCUGGUCCAAGAUUGGGUUUCAGAAUCCGCAUGCAUGAACUAACCUUACUAGAAUAGUACACCCAACAGAAACAACUCAAACCAAAAGUAGAGCACCACAACCAAACAUAGACACCAACCAAAUGAAACCAUUGGAUAUAUAGGAUAAAACGACACGUCCCAAGUAGAGAGGAAACUCCAGAAGGACGCAGAAGAAACCACGUUGCUGCACAGACGCUUGAGCACAAGCAGAAAAACUAGCCAGAGCACCUCUGAAGUAAAAAAAUUAAUUUGCUUUUUAUAAUAUAAAGGAGUUGAAUUUUAUUUUAACUAUAUUCUAUUUUGGAAUAAAAAUUAGAGUAACGAAUAAAAGAUAAAUAUAUUAUUCUAUUUUUGAAAUAAUCAAACUUUUUUACUUCAUUAUAUAAUGAAAAAUGGAAUAGGAUCCGAGAUAAUUUCACUUCAAAUUCCAUUUUGGAGUAGAAGCUAAAUUAGGGUUAGAGAUACUCUUAGUGCAGCAUUAGACCACAUGACAUAAAACCACAUAGAAGAAACACAGAGAUCUACGCCUUCAAACUAGACAUCCUCUACGGUUGCAGCCGGGAAGCAAACGCCAUCACCCUUGUACAACUUAUGAUGCGCCGAUAUAACACUCCAGCUCCAGAACCAGAAAUCACCUUGGCCAAAUAGCUCACUAUCGAUCGGUCUCACUGCACAUAUAUAUAUACGGAAACAAAUUAAGCAUAAACAAAUCUCUCACUACGUUGGUGACAAAGCACUGGACACGGGAAAAUAGAGACAUGUGGCUCUUUUCUUCCUUGCACUCUUGUUUUUUUUUUUAGGUCGAACUCUUGAUUUUUAUAUUUUGUUUAAAAGGUUUUACUUUCAACAAUUAUGGUUCAUUCCACAACGUAAAUUAAAAAUCAACACAAUGGCUAGGUUCUCUCCAGCAGUUGAUACCUAAGCUUUUAAAAAUACUGAGAAACUGCCAUGUCAAUAAAUGAAAAAAGUUGAGAAGCCAAUCAAAACAUUUUAUUUAUACACAUCACAUUUAAUAUCGAUAGAUAAGCAUGUAAGCUCGAGAAUCUUCUUCAUUCUCUCCAAAUCCAGCGACCAUCGUUCUCAUGAGGUUUUGAUCUUUAUCUGAAGUAAGAUUUAAUCGAAAAGACAAAGCAUAGGGGUCCUACGACGAAGGAUUAAUCAGGAAGGGGAAGAAAUAAGCCGAUUAGAACCAAGAACGUAGUCGGAAAUGCAUUGAUUUGAUGGGGUAAAGAAAGGGAUACAUGUAAUAUUAUUAUUAACUGUCUCUCUCACACUCUUGAUGAUGCAACGAAUCUGAAAUUAGAAAUCUUUGAAUCUUCCAUCUUGCAUCAGAAUGCAUAAACGCCAAGAUCUAAGAUUUGUUGAUUUUGAAAGAAUUUGGGAAGAUAAUGAAGCAGAUGAUACACAGGAGAGAGAGAUGAUGACGCCUCUGUAAGAGAUGAUUCCGGAGGAGAUGAGUCCUAAUAUAAUAAUCACCCGGUCUCCUCAAGAGCUUCACUAUUCAUUUCAACAUUUGCUUAUUCUGUGAUUGAGUCUCUCAGCAGAAAAUCGUAGGUGAAAAAAAAAAGAAAAGGAGCGAAGAUGAUCAAGUGUCCAAAAAGACGAGUCAUGUCUUUUAAGGUUAUCAAGAGUGUUAGCUGAGAGAGGAAGCGAAGAUAGCAGCUUGGAAACAUAUGCACAAGGUUUGGGACAGUUGUGAGGAUGAAAAUAGAACCUGCCAUUAGAAAACUCGGGGUCCUCCGAUCCUUCACUUAUAUGAAAACUCACAAAAACCAAUCAAACCAUGAUGAUUCUACUGAAAUUUCUUUUUGCUUGAAUCACAUGUGAAGCUGGAGAAAAAGAAAUGAGCAUCACUGGAUAAGAUCUUGUACAAGCUUCAAACAACCAAGUUGAAAGCACGAGAGAUCUGGAGUUCAGUAUUCAGUGAUCAUGAACAAGAAAAAAAAAGUUUUGACUAUAGAUCCCUGCAAUAAAACAGUAGCCCAACCAUAAUCUUCUUUCCAUGCUUUGUACAUAUAAUUUUAAUAUCUAUCUAUACCAAUAUUUUUUUUGUUUAUUUGAAGUAGAAAUUACACUAUAUCGUUGUUAUGAUCUGUUUCAGGCUGUUGAAAAAACUUUCGACGAAUCAACUGUUCUUGCCGCAAAGUAUCAAAACCCCCAAAGGUCUUCAGGGUAAGUCUGUGCUAGAGUUUGUGAGCUUCAGAAGUGAAAGCAUAAAUGGAGAGAAAGCUUUUUAUAUUUAUCGUGUAUCCUUUAUCACAAUGCUUACACAUUCUGUUUUCUUCCAUCUCAAUAGCUACAACCCAAAAAGUUGGGAAAUGAGAUUCAUGACAUA